rnacentral:tRNA from 1 species
GUCCUCGUAGCUCAGUUGGAUAGAGCGCAAGCUUGCGGAGCUUGAGGUCGCAGGUUCGAACCCUGCCGGGGACGCCA